rnacentral:misc_RNA from 1 species
UUUUUGUUAGUUUUGCGACUGUAGGUUAUUAGCCAUACAGCUUAAUCGCGGCUUUAGUUCAGUUUUGUUUUGGUUAUAAAAUUUUAUACGCCUGUGACAGCGGUAUAAAAAGUGGUCAGAGAGUCAUUGAAGCAUCAACGGCUUGACGACCGAAGUCGAAGCACACGCAUCCGCCCAAGAGCUCUCUGGAAAGUUCCGCGGGUCAACAUCAGGCCUGCAUCAGUCGCCGAAGCAACAUCAGACAGAGCCAUCAGUUUGGUUUUUGGGUGUGGUAAUGAUCCUUCCGCAGGUUCACCUACGGAAA